GACGAACGCUGGCGGCGUGCUUAACACAUGCAAGUCGAACGGAAAGGCCCUGCUUUUGUGGGGUGCUCGAGUGGCGAACGGGUGAGUAACACGUGAGUAACCUGCCCUUGACUUUGGGAUAACUUCAGGAAACUGGGGCGAAUACCGGAUAGGAGCUCCUGCUGCAUGGUGGGGGUUGGAAAGUUUCGGCGGUUGGGGAUGGACUCGCGGCUUAUCAGCUUGUUGGUGGGGUAGUGGCUUACCAAGGCCUUGACGGGUAGCCGGCCUGAGAGGGUGACCGGCCACAUUGGGACUGAGAUACGGCCCAGACUCCUACGGGAGGCAGCAGUGGGGAAUAUUGCACAAUGGGCGGAAGCCUGAUGCAGCAACGCCGCGUGCGGGAUGACGGCCUUCGGGUUGUAAACCGCUUUCGCCUGUGACGAAGCGUGAGUGACGGUAAUGGGUAAAGAAGCACCGGCUAACUACGUGCCAGCCGCCGCCGUAAUAC
rnacentral:rRNA from 1 species